rnacentral:rRNA from 1 species
AUACGUAGGGGGCGAGCGUUGUCCGGAAUUACUGGGUGUAAAGGGCGUGUAGGCGGCAUAUCAAGUUAUCGGUAAAACCCCAUGGCUCAACCAUGGGCCUGCCGAUAAAACUGGUAUACUUGAGUGCAGGAGAGGAAAGCGGAAUUUCCGGAGUAGCGGUGAAAUGCGUAGAUACCGGGAGGAACACCAGUGGCGAAGGCGGCUUUCUGGCCUGUAACUGACGCUGAGGCGCGAAAGCUGGGGUAGCGAACGGGAUUAGAUACCCCGGUAGUCCCAGCCGUAAACGAUGGUCACUAGGUGUGGGUGGUGGUCAAGCCAUCCGUGCCGGAGCUAACGCAAUAAGUGACCCACCUGGGGAGUACGGCCGCAAGGUUGAA